rnacentral:rRNA from 1 species
CCUACGGGAGGCUGCAGUGAGGAAUAUUGGUCAAUGGCCGGAAGGCUGAACCAGCCAAGUCGCGUGAGGGACGACUGCCCUAUGGGUUGUAAACCUCUUUUAUAAGGGAAGAAUAAAUGCUACGUGUAGCAUGAUGCCUGUACCUUAUGAAUAAGCAUCGGCUAACUCCGUGCCAGCAGCCGCGGUAAUACGGAGGAUGCGAGCGUUAUCCGGAUUUAUUGGGUUUAAAGGGUGCGUAGGCGGGUUAUCAAGUCAGCGGUAAAAUCGUGGAGCUCAACUCCAUCCAGCCGUUGAAACUGAUGAUCGUGAGUGGGCGAGAAGUAGGCGGAAUGCGUGGGGUGGCGGGGAAAUGCAUAGAUACAACGCAGAACUCAGAUGGAGAAGGCAGCAAACCGGCGCCCGAUGGACGCGGAAGCACGAAAGCGUGGGUAUCGAACAGGAGUAGAUACACGGGUAGUC